UACGGAGGGGGCGAGCGUUGUUCGGAUUCAUUGGGCGUAAAGGGUGCGUAGGCGGCGCGGUAAGUCGGGUGUGAAAUCUCGGAGCUUAACUCCGAAACUGCAUUCGAUACUGCCGUGCUUGAGGACUGGAGAGGAGACUGGAAUUUACGGUGUAGCGGUGAAAUGCGUAGAUAUCGUAAGGAAGACCAGUGGCGAAGGCGGGUCUCUGGACAGUUCCUGACGCUGAGGCACGAAGGUCAGGGGAGCAAACGGG
rnacentral:rRNA from 1 species